GGCGCGACAUGUAAAAAAAACCCUCCCCUUUUUUACAAAAUACUCAAUAACUCAAAAAUAAAAUUUUGAGUCAUCACCAAAAAGUAUACAGAUCUUCAGAUUAAUAUAACAAAGAAGUGUGUAAAGUUUUAAGCAAUAAUCAUAAAUCGUUUUUGAGAUACGGUACGACAUGUAAAAUCUCCCUCCCCCUUUUUUAUAAAAUACUCAAUAAC
rnacentral:lncRNA from 1 species